CGUAGGCGGCGAUGGCGACGCCGAAGGAGAUGGAGAGCAUGUUGAGCAUGGCGGAGGACUUGAAGUUCUCCUUCUUGAAGAGGACCCCGAUGGAGUAGACGGCGACGGGCAUGAGCGCCUUGAGCAUCUGGAUGAAGGAGACGGAGAGGUAGAUGUAGGCGGAGUUGGAGAACCAGAGCGAGAGCGAGUAGAGCGCGCCGAUGGGGAGCACGGAGGCGACGUAGAGCUGCGGCGUCAUGGCGGGAGACGAGGGCAGGUCGACGACACGGAGGACGCGGACGAGCGCGACGGCGAGGGAGGAGCAGAAGGCCAUGUGGACCAUGGUGAGGGAGAUGGGGAAGGGCCAGUUGUACAUCUUGGGGUCGAGGAUGUACUUAUUGUAGACGAUGACGGAGAAGGAGAGGAAGAUCCACACCGCCACGUACAUGUACGAGACGAGCACCUUGCGGAUCACCGACUCCGACAUGCCGCCGUCGCCUCCGCCGCCGCUGCCGGCGCCCUCCUUCCCCAUGGCUGUGGCUCCUGUCCGGCCGCCUUCUGUCCCCCGAGCU
rnacentral:lncRNA from 1 species